GCCGGGGUGGCGGAAUCGGCAGACGCGAGCGACUCAAAACCGCUUGGGGAAACCCGUGGGGGUUCAAGUCCCCCCCUCGGCA
rnacentral:tRNA from 1 species